UACGUAGGGUGCAGGCGUUAAUCGGAAUUACUGGGCGUAAAGCGUGCGCAGGCGGCUCCUUAAGUCAGAUGUGAAAUCCCCGGGCUUAACCUGGGAACUGCGUUUGAAACUGGGGAGCUCGAGUGUGGAAGAGGGGGGUGGAAUUCCAGGUGUAGCAGUGAAAUGCGUAGAGAUCUGGAGGAACACCUGUGGCGAAGGCGGCCGACUGGGCCGACCCUGACGCUGAGGCGCGAAGGCGUGGGGAGCGAACGGG
rnacentral:rRNA from 1 species